CUGGAAGGAAGAGACGUCCUGAGGGGCACUCUUGGAACACACUCAGGGAGGAAAGCUCACAUACAAUGAACUGGUUUUUAUGGAUCUAAGACGAUUUUAACUGAGUAACAGUGACUCUGUUGUACAGAAUCAGCAUUCUAUGCAGGCAAUGGGAAAGCAAGAGUCCCUGUGCCUCGUAACGAGUGAGCAGGUGGCUAAGAUUAGACAGGACUCGGCAGAAGAGGAAACAUCUGGCUGCCUCUACAGAAGAGACUUUGCUCUCUUGGCCUCUCCAAGCUUUUCCCUCUAGCUUCUUAAUGAGAAGGCAUUGAAGAACCAGCUGAGAACCUGAAGAACUGGUGCCAGGACCACUGUGUAUAACAAGGAUUUAAAACAAGCCCUGAGUUCUUAUCACCUCUCAGUGCCUAAGAUCCCUGACCACCCAAGUCAGAAGAGCACAGCCCUGUCCAGUCCUACAUACCUGGAAUUUGGCCAACAAAGCACACUGGUGAUUCCUUCCUUCAUCCGAAUAAAAUUUUUUUUUUGCCGGUUAAUGCAAAGACCCUCCUUCAAGAUCUCUCUCAAAUGUGUGUGGAGCAGGCAUGGAAGGAUCCGAACAGCAGGGUGAACUGGUGGUACAUUUUCAAGUGCCAACCGUGAAGAAGAGGUGUCGUAUUAUUUACCUUUAGAUUGCUCUAGGACAGGAGGAGGCGGGGCUUGGUAGCGGAGCUCUUGCCUAGUGUGC
rnacentral:lncRNA from 1 species